rnacentral:rRNA from 1 species
AUUGAACGCUGGCGGCAUGCCUUACACAUGCAAGUCGAACGGUAACAGGUCUUCGGAUGCUGACGAGUGGCGAACGGGUGAGUAAUACAUCGGAACGUGCCCGAUCGUGGGGGAUAACGAAGCGAAAGCUUUGCUAAUACCGCAUACGAUCUACGGAUGAAAGCAGGGGACCGCAAGGCCUUGCGCGAACGGAGCGGCCGAUGGCAGAUUAGGUAGGUGGUGGGAUAAAAGCUUACCAAGCCGACGAUCUGUAGCUGGUCUGAGAGGACGACCAGCCACACUGGGACUGAGACGCGGCCCAGACUCCUACGGGAGGCAGCAGUGGGGAAUUUUGGACAAUGGGCGAAAGCCUGAUCCAGCCAUGCCGCGUGCAGGAUGAAGGCCUUCGGGUUGUAAACUGCUUUUGUACGGAACGAAAAGACUCUGGUUAAUACCUGGGGUCCGUGACGGUACCGUGAGAAUAAGCACCGGCUAACUACGUGCCAGCAGCCGCAGUAA